CGGCGAGUGACAGGGAUAAGCCCAGCACCGAAGCCUGUGGCCGUUUGGCCCCUAGGCAAUGUGGUGUUCAGGUUAGCUCGCGGGGAUGCUGCUCCACCCUAAGUCCUAUAAUGAGUAAGGUUACUCGGACAUGGCCCACAGAGGGUGAAAGGCCCGUGGGGGUGGAGACUCAGAUUGGCCAGUAUCUCCCUGAGCAGACCUUGGAGUCGGGUUGUUUGUGAAUGCAGCCCAAAGCGGGUGGUAAACUCCAUCCAAGGCUAAAUACUUGCACGAGUCCGAUAGCGAACAAGUACCGUGAGGGAAAGUUGAAAAGUACUUUGAAGAGAGAGUAAACAGUGCGUGAAACCGCUCAGAGGUAAACGGGUGGAGUUGAACUGCAAGCUCUGAGGAUUCAGCUGGUGAGUUUGGCAUGAGCUUGGUCAUGUGGGUUGUGUGUUCGGGUCUGCUUAGCUGCAGGUCCUCGCCUUUGGUGGGGAUGCGCGUAUCGCUUAUCAAGCGUUGUGCGCCCGUUCUUCUCGGACCUGCUCGCCAGUGCACUUUCUCAGAGUGUUCACCACGACCGGC
rnacentral:rRNA from 1 species